rnacentral:rRNA from 1 species
ACUAUACCUAGCCCACCUCCCUCCUCAUUACUACUAUUAACAAGCUAAUUAAAUAAAACAUUCACCACGCGUUUAAAGUAUAGGAGAUAGAAAUUUAACCACCAAUGGCGCUAUAGAGAAAGUACCGUAAGGGAAAGAUGAAAGAAUCAAUAAAAGUAAAAAAAAGCAAAGCUUACCCCUUGUACCUUUUGCAUAAUGACUUAACUAGCAAUAAUUUAGCAAAGAGACCUUAAGUUAAAAUACCCGAAACCAGACGAGCUACUUACAAGCAGUGACUAGGACAAACUCAUCUAUGUGGCAAAAUAGUGAGAAGACUUAUAAGUAGCGGUGAAAAGCCUAACGAGCCUGGUGAUAGCUGGUUGUCCAAAAAAGGAAUUUCAGUUCAACAUUAAACAAUGCUAAGGACCUUAUCAAGUUUCAACGUAUGUUUAACUGUUAGUCUAAAAAGGUACAGCUUUUUAGAAACGGAUACAACCUUUACUAGAGAGUAAUAUAAAACUUAAACCAUAGUUGGCUUAAAAGCAGCCACCAAUUAAGAAAGCGUUCAAGCUCAACAACAAAAAUAAGUUUUAAUCCCAAUAAUAAAUAAAGCAACUCCUAGCCCGACUAUUGGACCAAUCUAUUUAAUUAUAGAAGCAAUACUGUUAAUAUGAGUAACAAGAAAAUUUUUCUCCUCGCACAAGCUUACAUCAGUAACUGAUAUUAUACUGAUAAUUAACAGUUAAUAAAUACAACCCAACACUAAAUUAUUUAUUAAACACACUGUUAACCCAACACAGGCGUGCACUAAGGAAAGAUUAAAAAAAGUAAAAGGAACUCGGCAAACACAAACCCCGCCUGUUUACCAAAAACAUCACCUCUAGCAUAGCCAGUAUUAGAGGCACUGCCUGCCCAGUGACUUAAUCGUUAAACGGCCGCGGUAUCUUGACCGUGCAAAGGUAGCAUAAUCACUUGUUCUCUAAAUAAGGACUUGUAUGAAUGGCCACACGAGGGUUUUACUGUCUCUUACUUUUAAUCAGUGAAAUUGACCUCCCCGUGAAGAGGCGGGGAUAAUAAAAUAAGACGAGAAGACCCUAUGGAGCUUUAAUUAAUCAACUCAAAAAUCAGAAAACAAUACCACUAAGGGAUAACAAAAUUUAUAUGAGUUGACAAUUUCGGUUGGGGUGACCUCGGAGCACAAAAAACCCUCCGAGUGAUUAAAACCUAGGCCUACUAGCCAAAGUGUAAUAUCACUUAUUGAUCCAAAUUUUUGAUCAACGGAACAAGUUACCCUAGGGAUAACAGCGCAAUCCUAUUCUAGAGUCCAUAUCGACAAUAGGGUUUACGACCUCGAUGUUGGAUCAGGACAUCCUAAUGGUGCAGCAGCUAUUAAGGGUUCGUUUGUUCAACGAUUAAAGUCCUACGUGAUCUGAGUUCAGACCGGAGUAAUCCAGGUCGGUUUCUAUCUAUUACGCAUUUCUCCCAGUACGAAAGGACAAGAGAAAUAAGGCCAACUUCAAAAAAGCGCCUUUAAAUAAUUAGUGAAUCAAUCUUAACCUAAUAAAUUAGCGCAAAUAUAUUAUGCCCAAAAUCAGGGCUUU